ACCUAAAAGGAGAGGGUUGGUGCUAUCCGUCAGCCUAAGCAGCCCACGUUCGGUUAGCAGAACCCAUGCCAUGGACGACCCCUUCCUUACACCUAGGACCGCUGCCUUACGGUCUGGCCGUAAGCACUGCACCUUUGGAUUCCCCGAGGGCCAAAGAGAACACGGGUCCAGAAGCGCCCUCUUCUCCCGCGGCUUUUCCGGGGGCAGAAGAAAUUGGCGAAGCCCAUUGGCUAGUGGGGAUCAGAAGAGGGUCUAGAUGCAGAAUAUUUCCAGGGUAUCCGAGCAUACUGAAACAUUACAAGAAAGGUCAAUAAGUGCUGCACAGCAUCCAAACUGGAAAAAGUUCAGCAACAGGAAGGCAGUGAAAGAUAAAGAAGGGAGAAGGAAACCUGACAGAAACAUCAAAGAAAGUUCUGAAGAGAGAAAAUACUUUCUUAGGCCAU